UAAUAAUUGGGAAAUGGCAAUGGUUUUGUUUAUAUGUGAAUAUAAACAAGCAGUUCAUCUUUCUUUUGUAAAUUUGAAGUAGUCUGAGUCAGGAUUUGUGAUAUCUCAGUGUUCUUCCGUUCCUGAGUUUACCAGACUGUAAGACAAAUUACUUUUCAGUAACUAGUACCCUCUUGUCCCUGAUGGUGGAAAUAUGGAGAAGGAGGUACAACCUCUAGCCAAGACAAUAGCAUCUAAUCUAGCUUUUCCUUCACAUCCUCAAAACCAAAAUAAAAAAACAGGGUUGUGUUCUAUACAAGCCAAGCCCUGGAAAAGAGUAAAACCAAGGGCGAAAAUUUCAAUUCAAUUUGCCAAGUAUUUACCUCUGACCUUUUAGAAAUUUGGCAUUACAUCCCCACCAAACCACUUUCUGUAGGCAUCCAUUUUAGCUCAUGGGUUUCUUUUAGUGGAGAACUGCUUUUGAGAUGAUUUCAAUCACUUGUGGAAAAGUUGUGUUUUUAAAGAAAUUCCUUCUGCUUUGAAUUUUAUUUAAGCUCCACAGCUUGGCCAGUGAAUGAAUCCCUACUUCAGUCCCUGUUUCAAGAGGGAAAUUCUUCUCAUGAGAUUAAUUUCUUAUGUUAAGGGUGGUCUCUGAAUCAGUCUGUAGACUCACAGCAGAUACACUUUGGGAAGGAGAAUCUAUUGUCCUCCCCUCACCCACCUUCCCUGCACACAUCCAAGGCCACUCCUGGACUCCUCCCAAACCAGCCUCAGCACCUGCCUUCAGGAGAUGCUCCAGCUUCAUUGAUUUUUUUUUUUUUUUGCUGGUGGAUACUGAGGAGAUGCAGGAGUAGGAAGAAGAAGAGAAGGAGGAGGAGAAUGAAUAUCAAGAUGGAGAGAAAGCCUCAUUUAGUUCUUCACUCACAAAUUCUGAGAAAUCAAAUGAACAAGCUCUCAGCUUCACUCCUUCCAGUAGAUAACACCCUUUCUUGUUUCAACCACCUCCUGCUUUUAGGUGUCAGAAGCUCUUGGUGAGAAGGGCUGCCUCACAUUCUCCUUCCCUCCUCAGCCCAGGUUUCCAUUUGGGGAGGUUGUCUUCAAACCAAGGAAGCUCCCCAGUUCACACCACUGUCUCCUCCAUAAUAAACCCACCCAAUCCUGUUAAAUAAUAUUUCUU
rnacentral:lncRNA from 1 species